rnacentral:rRNA from 1 species
UGCCCUUGAUAGGGGUAAACAGCCGCUGUAUUUUGACGGUGCUAAGGUAGCGAAAUUCCUAGCCUUUUAAUUGGAGGCCUGCAUGAAUGGUUUGACGAGCGCCCGACUGUCUCUUUUUCGUGUAUUUUGAAAUUAGCUUCUGUGUGAAAAGACACAGAUGGUUGAGUAAGACGAAAAGACCCUGUGCAACUUUACUAGGAAAGUGGGUUAAAUAUUAUAAAGUUUAGCUGGGGCAGCAGGGGAAAAACUAAAACUUCCCUAUUUAAGGUUUACUGAUGGGUUUUGAUCCAAUUGUUAGAUUGCUCGAUAGAAAAGUUACGCCAGGGAUAACAGCGUUAUCCUUCUGUGGAGGUCUUAUUUGCAGGGGGGAUUGCGACCUCG